CAGUCGCCGCGGUAAUACGAAGGGUGCAAGCGUUACUCGGAAUUACUGGGCGUAAAGCGUGCGUAGGUGGUGGUUUAAGUCCGUUGUGAAAGCCCUGGGCUCAACCUGGGAAUUGCAGUGGAUACUGGAUCACUAGAGUGUGGUAGAGGAUAGUGGAAUUUCCUGUGUAGCAGUGAAAUGCGUAGAGAUCGGAAGGAACAUCUGUGGCGAAGGCGACUAUCUGGGCCAACACUGACACUGAGGCACGAAAGCGUGGGGAGCAAACAGGAUUAGAUACCCCUGUAGUCCCUGUCUCUUAUAA
rnacentral:rRNA from 1 species